GUUAGUAUCUAUACUCCCCCCAUAACUCUUUUUCCGCCUUCUAUAACUUUCACCGUUUCCGGGCGCUUGCCUUGAGAGUGUAUCUACUCCCAAAUGACCAGAUGGAUUUCCUCUGUAAGCACCUUUCAUACGUGACUCUUGUUCGGUUUGCUUACUGCCAUCAAUAUUAUCAACAGUUUCUUCUUCAACAGCAUAAACCAAGAGUCCAUACUGGCAAUAACCAAAAGCUGUGGCCUGAAACCAUGCAAGAUCAACACGUAUACUGUGGAUUCUCAAAGCAGGAUUGGCAUGAGUUUCAAGCCAUCUAAUGACAGAUCGAAAUGUUAGUUUUAGCCGCCCACGACGAACUAGGCGCAGUUGUGCAUUCAAACCAGCCACCAUUCGAUACCAAGUAGUAGGAGGGACCAUCUGGCUCAUAAGGCUAGUAAGAAUAUUAUCACUUUGAAUUGAGAAAGGAGCCAUGUAACUUCCAUCACCUCCAAAAAUUAUAGACAUUGGAAAUCUUUGACGUAAGCGAGGAGGAAGUUCUGUUCUCUUUUCAUCUCCACCAAGGAAGAAGUCGAGAUAUGCAAGCAUCAAGUCAGGAGUUGCAGCUACCUUAAGCCC
rnacentral:misc_RNA from 1 species